rnacentral:rRNA from 1 species
GAUGAACGCUGGCGGCGUGCCUAAUACAUGCAAGUCGAGCGAACGGACGAGAAGCUUGCUUUUCUGAUGUUAGCGGCGGACGGGUGAGUAACACGUGGAUAACCUAACUGUUAGACUGGGAUAAUAACGGGAAACGGGGUCUACGACCGGAAAAUAUUUUGACCCGCGUUGUUCAAGAGUAAAAGACGGUCUUGCUGUCGGUAAUAGCUGAAAACGCGCUGGAUUAGUUAGUUGGUAAGGUAACGGCUUAGCAAGGCAACGAUGCAUAGCCGACCCGAGCGGGUGAUCGGCCACACGGCAGCGGGGAUACGGUCCCGACCCCGACGGGAGGCAGCAGUAGGGAUUCUUCGGGAGGGGGCGAAAGCGUAACGGAGCAACGCCGCGUGAGUGAGGAAGGGCUUCGGCGCGUAAAACAUUGUUAUCAGAGAAUAAUAAAGGUGUAAGUAACUGGGCAAAUCUGGCCGGUACCGAAGAAGAAGGCCAGGCUUAAUUAGUU